rnacentral:piRNA from 1 species
UGGGGUACAGCAAGAUAUAAUUAGACCA